GGAGAUGUAGCUUAGUGGUAGAGCACUUACCUAGUAUGUACAAGGCCCUAGGUUCAAUCCCUAGUACCGCAA
rnacentral:tRNA from 1 species